GCCGGGUGUGGUGGUGCAUGCCUGUAAUUCCAGCUACUUGGGAGGCUGAGGCAGGAGAAUUGCUUGAACCCAGGAGGUGGAGGCUGCAGUGAGCUGAGAUCAUGCCACUUCACUCCAGCCUGGGUGACAAAGCGAGACUCUGUCUCAA
rnacentral:sRNA from 1 species